AUUGAACGCUGGCGGCAUGCCUUACACAUGCAAGUCGAACGGUAACAGGUCUUCGGAUGCUGACGAGUGGCGAACGGGUGAGUAAUACAUCGGAACGUGCCUAGUAGUGGGGGAUAACUACUCGAAAGAGUGGCUAAUACCGCAUGAGAUCUACGGAUGAAAGCAGGGGAUCGCAAGACCUUGUGCCACUAGAGCGGCCGAUGGCAGAUUAGGUAGUUGGUGGGAUAAAAGCUUACCAAGCCGACGAUCUGUAGCUGGUCUGAGAGGACGAUCAGCCACACUGGGACGGAGACACGGCCCAGACUCCUACGGGAGGCAGCAGUGGGGAAUUUUGGACAAUGGGCGAAAGCCUGAUCCAGCAAUGCCGCGUGCAGGAUGAAGGCCUUCGGGUUGUAAACUGCUUUUGUACGGAACGAAAAGCCCCGGGUUAAUACCCUGGGGUCAUGACGGUACCGUAAGAAUAAGCACCGGCUAACUACGUGCCAGCAGCCGCCGUAA
rnacentral:rRNA from 1 species